rnacentral:rRNA from 1 species
GACGAACGCUGGCGGCGUGCUUAACACAUGCAAGUCGAACGGAAAGGCCCUGCUUUUGUGGGGUGCUCGAGUGGCGAACGGGUGAGUAACACGUGAGUAACCUGCCCUUGACUUUGGGAUAACUUCAGGAAACUGGGGCUAAUACCGGAUAGGAGCUCCUGCUGCAUGGUGGUGGUUGGAAAGUUUCGGCGGUUGGGGAUGGACUCGCGGCUUAUCAGCUUGUUGGUGGGGUAGUGGCUUACCAAGGCUUUGACGGGUAGCCGGCCUGAGAGGGUGACCGGGCACAUGGGGACUGAGAUACGGACCAGACUGCUACGGGAGGCAGCAGGGGAGAAUAUUGCAGAAUAGGCGGAAGCCUGAUGCAGCGACGCCGCGUGCGGAAUGACGGCCUUCGGGUUGUAAACCGCUUUCGCCUGUGACGAGGCGGGAGUGACGGUAAUGAGUAAAGAAGCACCGGCUAACUACGUG